GUCUGAAGUAGGUCAGUGGAAGGCUAGUUAAACCGUUUGGUUUACGACCACUACGACCCGGGUUCGAUCCCCGCAUUGGACA